GAUUGGUCGAGCGGCGGUAUGGCGUCAUGAGCCCUGCACUAAGCUUUGAUUGAGCUUUGAGCUUGGGCGCCAUUUUUGCGAAGACAGCCAAACAUGAUAAAAACACGAAAAAUGUUGCAGAUGAACGUACUAAUGUACCUUCAAUGCUGCAAGACAAAGAACAAAAACAGAAGGCGGUUCUGAUUUAUAAAGAAGCACAGUUUUAUUUGGUCUGAUUGGUAAACACAAGCAGGGUUGAAGUGCACUUGUUUAAAGCCAGACAGUUGGCCUUUCCCACGAGUCAGCCACAAGAGCCGUCAAUUAGCAUGGCCGGGGGCAUCGGUUGUACUUUAUUCUUAGUCAUUCUUUAUUGAAAACUUACGCUGCAUUCACACUAAAAGCAUGUUCAAACAAGGUUUUUCUUUGCCUGAUAACUUGCCAAGUUUCUCAUGUGUUGAAAACUUACUAGCUAAAUGAUCACUUAGUAACAUGUACAGCACAGUCUAUUUAGUUUUGUUCCUGGUUUUUUGGGAGAUUUAAACCAGUUUAAUUAAAUCACCUUGAAACUGGUUUAGGCGCUAAUGUGAAUGAGGUGUUAUUUGGUGGGUACCUCAUACUGUAUAAAAGUGUACACGGCAAAACCUGCCUACUCAUCUUGGGUUUCGCCGAUGAUAAUCACCGUAAUAAUGUGCGUCGAACUCUCAUCUUCGAUAACCACGGGUAGUCCAACGAUAAGCGUUGCGAACCAGUGUCGGGUUACACAUACAGAUUUUUAACUGUGGUAGGUAAUUUCAAGUCUCUGGAUAUUCUAUAGCCCUCUCAUUUACUUUAAAACAAAAAUGUUUAAACAAUAUGAUAGCAUUAUUGUUGUUUCCUUUGUACUUACAUUUUAUCUAAAUUAUAUUGUUAACACAAUGUGGCUCACUUUGGGUGUUAAAAUAACUUUACCCCUAAGUGAUAGCACAUUGAGGGCAGUGAACAAAAGAAA